UACGAAGGGGGCUAGCGUUGUUCGGAAUUACUGGGCGUAAAGCGUGCGCAGGCGGUUUUGUAAGUCAGAUGUGAAAUCCCCGGGCUCGACCUGGGAACUGCAUUUGAUACUGCCUGGCUAGAGUAUGGAAGAGGGAAGUGGAAUUUCCGGUGUAGCGGUGAAAUGCGUAGAUAUCGGAAGGAACACCAGUGGCGAAAGCGACUUCCUGGUCCAAUACUGACGUUCAUGUGCGAAAGCGUGGGGAGCAAACAGG
rnacentral:rRNA from 1 species